AAGUCGUAACAAGGUUUCCGUAGGUGAACCUGCGGAAGGAUCAUUAAAAAUUGUGGGAUACAACUUUGUGCAAGAGAUGACUAUACAAUUAAUGUUGAUAUUAAUACGAUAUACAACUUUUAGCAACGGAUCUCUAGGUUCUC
rnacentral:misc_RNA from 1 species